GUUUACAGUAACACAUUUCAAAUUAAAUAUGAGUCAAGCUAUUGCUUGCAUUUGCAAGUUUUAACACAUAGGCCUAAAUCAGACAAUGCAUAGGCAAUUUAGCGAAAUCCCUGCAGUUGUGGUCUUGACCGGUCUUGAAAUAUAAUCCAGAGUCCUCUUUAUCCGAGACCGAG